UACGUAGGUGGCGAGCGUUGUCCGGAAUUAUUGGGCGUAAAGCGCGCGUAGGCGGGAUAUUAAGUCUAUUCUAAAAGUGCGGGGCUCAACCCCGUGAUGGGAUGGAAACUAAUAUUCUUGAGUACCGGAGAGGAAAGCGGAAUUCCCAGUGUAGCGGUGAAAUGCGUAGAUAUUGGGAGGAACACCAGUGGCGAAGGCGGCUUUCUGGACGGUGUCUGACACUGAGGCGCGAAAGCCAGGGGAGCGAACGGG
rnacentral:rRNA from 1 species